CUGUGAGAAUCAAUCAUCUCCUUCCAGAAGUCAUCGUUCAGCAGCUGUGGGACCUUGGCUAUUUUUAUCUCCCCCAGGAAACCAGUGUCCAAGGACGUGCUGGGCCACCUUUGGGGACUUGAGCUGUGGGUUGUCAGGGCAGCUGAGCCUCCACCUCAAGGUUAAAUCCAAAGUGCCUGACCUGGAAUAGGACAGCAUUUGAUCCUCCACUCCUGCAACUGGAGGAACCAGGAUGGUGUAAGAGCAGGUGAUGUGAGCCCUUUUAUAUUUGGGGAGGUCCAUCUGAUACCCUAAACAAGCUUCUUCAGCAUAGUCCUCUGAGCCACCAAGUUGCAGAUGCUACCAUGAUGCCAUCCUGACCUCUCUGGACAGACAACCUCACCAAUAUGUCCUGGUACCACACCUCUCCAGAGCCCUGCCCAACUAGGGAAAUAUAGAAACAGGCUGGGACUAUGGAUUGACCUGCCAACAUCCAUGUUCAGCAGAGAAGCAAUUACAGAAGCUAGACCCUCCACCUUCUGCACUCCAUAAGGAAAACUCCCAGAAAGGGAUAAAGAACAGGGAAGCUUCCAA